rnacentral:rRNA from 1 species
UACGUAGGGUGCAAGCGUUAAUCGGAAUUACUGGGCGUAAAGCGUGCGCAGGCGGUUUUGUAAGUCAGAUGUGAAAUCCCCGGGCUUAACCUGGGAACUGCGUUUGAAACUACAAGGCUAGAGUGUGACAGAGGGGGGGUGGAAUUCCACGUGUAGCAGUGAAAUGCGUAGAGAUGUGGAGGAACACCGAUGGCGAAGGCAGCCCCCCUGGGUCAAGAUUGACGCUCAUGCACGAAAGCGUGGGGAGCAAACAGG